CUCAAAUAUGUUAUACACGGGAGGUCUGCAGAUUGAUUGUCCUAAUGUAAACGCACCUGCUGCAACCAGCAACAACGACAUUUGGCACAAGGAAGGCGAGUUCAUCGCCAAAAGCCAGUAACUUCUCAAGUGUUGAAGAGAAGACCAUGGUGUCUACACCUGUACCAGAUCUUACCUGUAUUAUGGACACAUAUAUAACAUGACCUUUACAGUGGUGCUUGAUAUCCAACCAAAGG